AUGGAAAGAGAUGGAAUCAGAAUCUACCGGCAGAGGGAUGUGAUAAGUUGGUGGUCUGGAGGACUUAUGGUACACCAGUUGAUCUUUGUGCUUGUGGAAACUGAUUACGAAGAUGUUAGAAAGCCUGUUUCAGAAUACUUUGGUAUUAGUGGGACUGCUCCAAAAGUACCUGCAUACACCGGAAACAAUGAUAUGCACUUAAUCUUUGGGCUCUAUUAA